rnacentral:tRNA from 1 species
CAAAAAAUAGUUUAAUUUAGAAUUCUGGCUUUGGGAGUCAGCGGCGGGAGUUAAAAUCUCCUUUUUUUGA